rnacentral:rRNA from 1 species
GGCCCGGGCGGUCGCUCCCAACCCAAUGUGAACGUUACCAAACUGUUGCCUCGGCGGGAUCUCUGCCCCGGGUGCGUCGCAGCCCCGGACCAAGGCGCCCGCCGGAGGACCAACCAAAACUCUUAUUGUAUACCCCCUCGCGGGUUUUUUUAUAAUCUGAGCCUUCUCGGCGCCUCUCGUAGGCGUUUCGAAAAUGAAUCAAAACUUUCAACAACGGAUCUCUUGGUUCUGGCAUCGAUGAAGAACGCAGCGAAAUGCGAUAAGUAAUGUGAAUUGCAGAAUUCAGUGAAUCAUCGAAUCUUUGAACGCACAUUGCGCCCGCCAGUAUUCUGGCGGGCAUGCCUGUCCGAGCGUCAUUUCAACCCUCGAACCCCUCCGGGGGGUCGGCGUUGGGGAUCGGCCCUGCCUUGGCGGUGGCCGUCUCCGAAAUACAGUGGCGGUCUCGCCGCAGCCUCUCCUGCGCAGUAGUUUGCACACUCGCAUCGGGAGCGCGGCGCGUCCACAGCCGUUAAACACCCAACUUCUGAAAUGUUGACGUCGGGAUCGGUGUAGGAAUACCCGCUGAACUUAAGCAUAGCAAACCGCCGGGGAGA